AGCGAACGCUGGCGGCAGGCCUAACACAUGCAAGUCGAGCGGGCGUAGCAAUACGUCAGCGACAGACGGGAGAGUAACACGUGGGAACGUGCCCUUUGGUUCGGAAUAACUCAGGGAAACUUGAGCUAAUACCGGAUAAGCCCUGCGGGGGAAAGAUUUAUUGCCAUUGGAGCGGCCCGCGUCGGAUUAGCUAGUUGGUGAGGUAAUGGCUCACCAAGGCGACGAUCCGUAGCUGGUCUGAGAGGAUGACCAGCCUCACUGGGACUGAGACACGGCCCAGACUCCUACGGGAGGCAGCAGUGGGGAAUAUUGGACAAUGGGCGCAAGCCUGAUCCGGCCAUGCCGCGUGGAUGAUGAAGGCCCUAGGGUUGUAAAGUCCUUUUAACGGGGAAGAUAUGACGGUACCCGUAGAAUAAGCCCCGGCUAACUUCGUGCCAGCCGCCGCAGUAA
rnacentral:rRNA from 1 species